CAUACUUGUCCAAAAACUCCUUCUGUCAAAUCAUAAAAUGUAAGAUGUGUUAUUGUAAUAAAAUGCCUUUCUUACUUCGUUAACGGUCUACUACAAAAUCAAACACCAUAUAAUUAAACACACAACAGCACGACUACAAUUUCAUCAAAAAACAUAUUACUGCAAAAAUUUUAAAGAUGUAAAAAGCUAUGCAAAAUCAUUCACUUAAUCAACUUAAAAAAAAAAGGGUUUAUUUUCUAUUUGCACCAAUGGGCUCUUCAAAUCUUGGUGUUCAUACCAAAACCAGGAGUUCCUAGUGAUAUAGCUAGCAUGUUUUUCCAGAGUAAUACUCCCAUCCAUUUGGAACUUCCAAAAAUAACCCAACUCGAAGGUUUUGGUAUUGUACCCUUCUAGUUUUAUACCAACGCGGAGAGAGAAGGGACAAGGCAUUAAUGUGCAUUACUAAUUUCAGAGGGAAACAAAUUCUAUAACUUAAUUCUCACAUGAACUUUCACAUUAGUCCUUUAUUACAUUUCGAGUUCCAUUUUUGACAAGAAACACAAAUAGUAGCAUGGGCAGUAAUGACUUCCAAUAAUUUUUCAUACCAACAGAAAAGGGAAAACAAAGUAAUCAUUUGCCAGAUUCCCUAAGGGCAAACAACAGACAGCUGAACACCAUUUAUUAUCUAGAUCUGGAUAUCAUAAAACAUCAAUUUACGGUUUCAAAAUGAAUAGGAUAGAUUUUGCUUGAAUGGGUGGUAUCCUGGUGAGGCUCUUCCCCUCCCCCAACCUACCCACAACAUGGUUAAAUUCUUUGUUUCGUUGAUAAAGAAUACAAGAAUUUAGCAACAUCCAUAUCCCAAUGAGUAAUACUGCUUAAUGGCUUUUGAAAAAGCAUCUGGUAGUGAAAUCUAGA
rnacentral:misc_RNA from 1 species